UACGAACCGUGCGAACGUUGUUCGGAAUCACUGGGCUUAAAGGGCGCGUAGGCGGGCUGUCAAGUCUGGGGUGAAAUGCCGCGGCUCAACCGUGGAACUGCCUUAGAUACUGACGGCCUCGAGGGAGAUAGGGGCAUGCGGAACUGUAGGUGAAGCGGUGAAAUGCGUUGAUAUCUACAGGAACUCCGGUGGCGAAAGCGGCGUGCUGGAUCUCUUCUGACGCUGAGGCGCGAAAGCUAGGGGAGCAAACGGG
rnacentral:rRNA from 1 species